rnacentral:rRNA from 4 species
UGAGGAAUAUUGGUCAAUGGGUGCAAGCCUGAACCAGCCAUCCCGCGUGAAGGACGACUGCCCUAUGGGUUGUAAACUUCUUUUGUAUAGGGAUAAACCUACCCUCGUGAGGGUAGCUGAAGGUACUAUACGAAUAAGCACCGGCUAACUCCGUGCCAGCAGCCGCGGUAAUACGGAGGGUGCAAGCGUUAUCCGGAUUUAUUGGGUUUAAAGGGUCCGUAGGCGGACUUAUAAGUCAGUGGUGAAAGCCUGUCGCUUAACGAUAGAACUGCCAUUGAUACUGUAAGUCUUGAGUAUAUUUGAGGUAGCUGGAAUAAGUAGUGUAGCGGUGAAAUGCAUAGAUAUUACUUAGAACACCAAUUGCGAAGGCAGGUUACCAAGAUAUAACUGACGCUGAGGGACGAAAGCGUGGGGAGCGAACA